CUGCGGGGGCGCGUGCCCGCACAGAUAUAAGCCCUCCCUCCCCUCGUUCAUCCAGUCGAGCGAUGAAGGGUCGUGGACGUAGGGAGCCGAGGUUUCUUUAGGUCUCUGUACAGCCGCAAGUAUGAGUAGCCACCACCGGAGUACAUAGCAGCAGAGGAGGUCGAGUUCCAGUCCCGACCGUGGGUGGUGCUCUCCUCCAUCCCCGCCUUCCUUGACGCCACCGUUGAGCAGGCAUCGAUGCUCGUGCCCUGGGCGCCUCCUUCCUGACCACCUCGCCGGAGAAAGAGAAUCGGACGCGGGAUUUCUCGCCACGGUGGCACGCUUCGCCAUGGUCGUGGUGCUCUACGCUGCAAAGCCGGGAGAAGAACAGGUGGUUCAAGAGGAGCCACACAACGAGGAGUUCGAUUCGAUCUAGGUGGCGUCUCCCAGUUGACUUUCUGACGCCAAGGAUGGAUUUUAGAUCCAUUUACAUUUAUAAUUUAUUUUGUAAGACUUCCGCUAUGUAAUAAGUACUCUGAUUAUAUUGUGACAUUUAUCUCUAUACACUCUAUUAUUAUAUAUGUUGUUAUCUUUGGCGCAUGUAUGAGAUGUACUCGGCUUUGUCCCUUAAAUCUGGGUGUGACAAAAGCCUAGGCCUCAAGUUUACUUUA